rnacentral:rRNA from 1 species
CCUACGGGUGGCAGCAGUGGGGAAUAUUGGACAAUGGGGGGAACCCUGAUCCAGCCAUGCCGCGUGUGUGAAGAAGGCCCUCGGGUUGUAAAGCACUUUCAGUGAGGAAGAACGCCUGGUGGUUAAUACCCAUCAGGAAAGACAUCACUCACAGAAGAAGCACCGGCUAACUCCGUGCCAGCAGCCGCGGUAAUACGGAGGGUGCGAGCGUUAAUCGGAAUUACUGGGCGUAAAGCGCGCGUAGGUGGCUUGAUAAGCCGGUUGUGAAAGCCCCGGGCUCAACCUGGGAACGGCAUCCGGAACUGUCAUGCUAGAGUGCAGGAGAGGAAGGUAGAAUUCCCGGUGUAGCGGUGAAAUGCGUAGAGAUCGGGAGGAAUACCAGUGGCGAAGGCGGCCUUCUGGACUGACACUGACACUGAGGUGCGAAAGCGUGGGUAGCAAACAGGAUUAGAUACCCUGGUAGUC